UUAACUAUUUUAAACUAAAGGAAAAUGGGAAGUCGAGAGUGAAAGAAACACAAAGCAUUUAUCACUUCAUUUAGUGUGACAUAGAUUGCAUAAC